rnacentral:lncRNA from 1 species
CAAGGACAGAGGUGCCCCUAGAGGUCAUGUGUGUCCACCGCUGGGAAUGGUGUCUGCAUAUUCUUCAUAUGCCAGCUCAUCUCGCCAACGGAAA